AAGGGCUUAGCUUAAUUAAAGUAACUGAUUUGCAUUCAGUUGAUGCGGAAUAAGGUUCUGUAGUCCUUA
rnacentral:tRNA from 2 species